rnacentral:rRNA from 1 species
GACGAACGCUGGCGGCGUGCUUAACACAUGCAAGUCGAACGGAAAGGCCCUGCUUGCAGGGUACUCGAGUGGCGAACGGGUGAGUAACACGUGGGUGAUCUGCCCUGCACUUCGGGAUAAGCCUGGGAAACUGGGUCUAAUACCGGAUAGGAGCCAUUUUUAGUGUGAUGGUUGGAAAGUUUUUUUCGGUGUAGGUUGAGCUCGCGGCCUAUCAGCUUGUUGGUGGGGUAAUGGCCUACCAAGGCGGCUACGGGUAGCCGGCCUGAGAGGGUGGACGGCCACCUUGGGACUGAGAUACGGCCCAGACUCCUACGGGAGGCAGAAGUGGGGAAUAUUGCACAAUGGGCGCAAGCCGGAUGAAGCGACGCCGCGUGGGGGAUGACGGCCUUCGGGUUGUAAACUCCUUUCGCUAGGGACGAAGCUUUUUGUGACGGUACCUAGAUAAGAAGCACCGGCUAACUACGUG